AAUCCUCAUUCUUUCUUUAUUCUUCAAGAAACAAGAAAAGAAUGAAAACACGAAUUGUGGAAUUUAUGGUGUUGGGUGUGUCGCUCAAGGAUCAAGAGAUUGAUAUGCUUUGCCAAUAAUCUCUUAUGUUUGCUACGGUAAAUUUUUCAACUUUCUCUCCACACGUUGAUUCAUUUAUUUAGAUACCCAUUUUCUCAUUCAAUCUUCUGCUUCAUAAAAACAAAACAAAAGAAUCCUUAAUUGACCAAAGGUGUUCUUUAUGUUUCGACAUUCAAUUUUAUGAGAAAAACAAAAGAACCCUAAUUCUGCAAAAGGUGUUCUGUUUUGUCCCAAAAGAAUCUUAAAAGAUAGUUUUUUGUUUGUCACAAAAUAAGGGAGUUUCACUUGUUUUUGGAAUUUUCAUUCUAACAUAUUUGUCCCAAAAGAAUCAUCUGUUUAUAAUCGAUAAAUGUUGGGAACAAUGGUGGGUUUCCAAUUUUAAAGGGUAUAAAACCCCAUAAGACUGUGAAUCAUUGUCCCUUGGAAAAGGGGUAGGGUAUAUAUCCCUAAUAGUAACCCUCAAUUUGACAGUUCGAAUCGAUGAAUAUACUCUGUGUUAUAAAUUUUGUAACGGAUGGAUCAUAGAUGCCUCAAUGACCGCAGAGUAAAAUGUUGGAUGAGUUUAAUGACCCUAGUCCCUGAAUUUGAAAGCUAGUUGUUACCUUAAUUGCUACUCAAGCAAUUGUCUCUAUCGGUGUCGGCUUUUCGAUUAAAAAAAUUAUGAAUUUUAUUCAUAAUAAUGCAUGAAUGGGUAUAUAUUAUGCUUUGAUGACCCUUAGUCCCUAAAUUCGAAUCUGCAACUGCAAUUAGAAGUGUUUUUGCAUUAUGAACAACAUUCAAUCUUCUGAUUCAUAAAAAUAAAACAAAAAGCUUAAUUGUGCAAAAAGUGUGCUGUCCCAAGAUCAUGUUUGGUACCAAUAUUUUAAGAAAAACAGUUUUUUGUUUGUUACAAUAAUGUAGUCUCGCACGUUUUUGGAAUUUUCAUUCCAACAUAUUUGCCCCAUCUGGUUUAUAAUCAAUACCUGUUGGAAACGAUGAUGGGCUUCGAUAGAAACUUUUAAUCUUAUGCUUCGAUAAAAAGGUGAUUGGAUGUCUUGAUGCCCACAAAAUGCUGGAUAGAUUACUUAAUGACCCUAGUCCCUGAAUGCGAAAGCUAGUUGUUGCCUUAAUUGCUACUCAAUCAAUUGUCUCUUUCGGUGUUUGCUUUUCUAUUAAAAAAAUUAUGAAUUUUUAUUCAUAAUAAUGCAUGAAUGGGUAUAUAGUCUGCUUUGAUGACCCUUAGUCCCUAAAUUCAAUUCUGCAACUGCAAUUAGAAGUGAUUUUGCAUUAUGAACAUAAUGACCCUUGUCCCAAAUGUUUCAUAAGUUUUGUAAGGGUUGGAUGCCUCAAUGACCUUUGAGAAAAAUGCAUUAUGAAUUCUUUAUUCAUAAUGGAAAAGUUGGAUGGUGGCUUUCAAAGGAAAGACAUUUAAUAUGAAAUUUUAUUCAAAACGUGGAUGGUGUCUAUUGUCUUUUUAUGACCCUAAUUGUGAAACUGUCACUAGGGGGUAUACAUGAGCUCGCUAACUGCAAAUUCGAUGAAAAGAUGGAUAUACUUUGUUCCAUGAUUUUUGUAAGGAAUUGUGUUGGUGGCCCAAAAAUGCUGGAUGAUGUCAUAUUGUGAAAGCUAGUUGUUGCCUUAAAUGCAAUUUUAAUAUAAAAUUUCAUUCAUAAUAUAAGGCAAGGAUAAUAUCUAUUCUAUUGUGCUUUGAUGACCCUAGUCCCUAGAUGCAAUUUUCCAACUACAAUAUGAAAUGAUUUUGCAAAUGCAAAAGGAAGUGCUUCCUUGUGUUUGAUUUGCCUAUUGAUAAGGGUUUCAAAGGAAUUCUCAGGAACAAAUUACAAAGAAACGAACUCUUUGGAGUAUAAAUUAUUUCUUAUAAUAUCGAACUGGUAUGUAUGAGUGCAUCGCGUCCUAAAGGCUUUGCACAAAGAUAUUGUGAACCCCUUGUUUCAUUUAGGGGAUGGUGACUUUCGAAGCAAUGCUGUGGUGCGUGCCACAUUAUUUUUUUUACUUAAAGUUGUUGCUUUAGAGACUGUAAGGAGGUUCUCCAAGAGAAGAUGCCCAUGUGUGUGUCGAGGUCUGCAGAGUCUACAAAUCCUUGUCGUACCACAAUUUAAAUGGAUUCAGAGGUGGGCUGCCUUCAGGGGUUUGGUCAAAAGCAUGCAGGUACUAUCAAGACCAUUAUUCGUCCUUUCGAUUGCAACAGUAUUUACUGAUGAACUGAAAUGUAGUGAUGGAACCUCAGAAAUAUCUGCAGCAGAACUAUCUCAUGUGCACGAUAAUUUGAAUAUGAGGUAUAUGAUUUGAGGCUUCUGACUAAGGAUACAUGUGCAAUUUAUCCUUGUUGCGAUGUUAUUAUAACACUUUACUUUGGAGCAUAGAAUGACAUAAGUUUCUACGUAAGAACUAUGAUGAGUAUAUUAACAUUUGCAUAUUAAGUUAUUGUUAACCUCUCGACCCAUAAUUUCUAGAGGGUUAUUUGCUUAAUUGAGGAUCAUUUAACAUUAACCUAUUGCGGAAUUGAUAAAGUUGGCUUUGCAAAUAAAUAACUGAUUUGCUAUUGUGUGUGCUUCAAUGACCCUAGUCCCUGAAUUCAAUUCUGCAAAUGCAAUUAGAAGUGAUUUUGCAGUAUGAACUCCAAAUUCGAUGGAUAUACUUUGUUCCUUGAUUUUUGUAAGGGAUUGUCUUGGUGGCUCAAAAUGUUGGAUGAUGCCUUAAUUUUGAAGCUAGUUGUUGCCUUAAAUGCAAUUUUAAUAUAAAAUUUCAUUCAUAAUAUAUGGCAUGGAUAUUAUCCAUUGUGCUUUAAUGACCCUAGUCCCUAAAUGCAAUUUUGCAACUACAAAAUGAACUGAUUUUGGUGGGUGUUUGUAUAAGAAUCAGAUAGCACUAUAUUUGUGUUGAUAAUUAUAAAUGUAAAUCUUGUAUUUAGUAACUGAAAAAGGUAGAACCUUACCCAUUUUUAUGGUUCUUGAUCAUUCAAUAUAAUUCAAUCUUCUACUUGAUAAAUACAAAACCUUUUAUUGGUGAACAUAGCGGUGUUCAGGUUCAGCAUGCUAAUAAGGUGGUUAAUUCCCAAGGUUCAACGGUGAUUUUGAAACCGAAAUCUCAUGGAACUGUUAGUGUUGAAACUUGAAAGCAUGCUGGUGGGUAAAAGAAAGGUUGAUGUGGCUUCAUGCACGAACUAGAGCAACUUUCUAUCUCAAAUUUGAAAAUGAGGAUAUUUUUUUUGAUGUGUGCCAAGAAGAAAAAACUCAAGAGUUAUGGUUGUAGGAUAUGAAUUCAAAUAUUGUGUGUUCUAGAGUGGACUGUUGGGCUGUUCCAAGCCCAAUAUCACCUCCUUCUCGACUAUAUAAGCCUCGCAUCAUCACCUAUGAUGGUAUGUCUCAUUCUAAAUUGAAACUGAAUACUGUUACUAAGUAAGUGUGUGCUUGAUUUAUCCUUAAAAAUAAGGUCAUUUGUGGAAAGAGAAGUGUAUUCACCAUAAUGCAAAUUUGCAACAUUUCUAAGAUGCACUGUUGUUAAGAAACUGAAUGGGCAUGUGUGGCAAUGCUUAGUUUACUAUUGUUAUUCAUUGAAUUUGGUUACCAAUAUUUAAUUUAUGUGUGAAAGUGAUCAAUAUAAUAAAUAAUGAUGUAUUGCUUUCUAAUUCAAUGAAGUGAGAAUUGAUACUUCACUCAUAUCUUCAUUCCUUUGGUUUAGUUUAUCAGCAUUGGCAUGUUGUCUUUAGUUCAGUUCAUGGAGUCUUAAGGCUAAAAUAGCUUAAGAUUUUCUAAACCUUCAAU